rnacentral:rRNA from 1 species
GACGAACGCUGGCGGCGUGCUUAACACAUGCAAGUCGAACGGAAAGGCCCUGCUUGCAGGGUACUCGAGUGGCGAACGGGUGAGUAACACGUGGGUGAUCUGCCCUGCACUUCGGGAUAAGCCUGGGAAACUGGGUCUAAUACCGGAUAGGAGCCAUUUUUAGUGUGAUGGUUGGAAAGUUUUUUCGGUGUAGGAUGAGCUCGCGGCCUAUCAGCUUGUUGGGGGGGUAAUGGCCUACCAAGGCGGCGACGGGUAGCCGGCCUGAGAGGGUGGACGGCCACAGUGGGACUGAGAUACGGCCCAGACUCCUACGGGAGGCAGCAGUGGGGAAUAUUGCACAAUGGGCGCAAGCCUGAUGCAGCGACGCCGCGUGGGGGAUGACGGCCUUCGGGUUGGAAACUCCUUUCGCUAGGGACGAAGCUUUUUGUGACGGUACCUAGAGAAGAAGCACCGGCUAACUACGUG